rnacentral:rRNA from 1 species
GACGAACGCUGGCGGCGUGCUUAACACAUGCAAGUCGAACGGAAAGGCCCUGCUUUUGUGGGGUGCUCGAGUGGCGAACGGGUGAGUAACACGUGAGUAACCUGCCCUUGACUUUGGGAUAACUUCAGGAAACUGGGGCUAAUACCGGAUAGGAGCUCCUGCUGCAUGGUGGGGGUUGGAAAGUUUCGGCGGUUGGGGAUGGACUCGCGGCUUAUCAGCUUGUUGGUGGGGUAGUGGCUUACCAAGGCUUUGACGGGUAGCCGGCCUGAGAGGGUGACCGGCCACAUUGGGACUAAGAUACGGCCCAGACUCCUACGGGAGGCAGCAGUGGGGAAUAUUGCACAAUGGGCGGGAGCCUGAUGCAGCAACGCCGCGUGCGGGAUGACGGCCUUCGGGUUGUAAACCGCUUUCGCCUGUGACGAAGCGUGAGUGACGGUAAUGAGUAAAGAAGCACCGGCUAACUACGUG